GCCCCGAUAGCUCAGUGGUAGAGCAUCUCCAUGGUAAGGAGAAGGUCGUCAGUUCAAGCCUGACUCGGGGCU
rnacentral:tRNA from 2 species